rnacentral:rRNA from 1 species
CCUACGGGAGACAGCAGUGAGGAAUAUUGGUCAAUGGACGAGAGUCUGAACCAGCCAAGUAGCGUGAAGGAUGACUGCCCUAUGGGUUGUAAACUUCUUUUAUAUGGGAAUAAAAUGUUCCACGUGUGGGUUUUUGUAUGUACCAUAUGAAUAAGGAUCGGCUAACUCCGUGCCAGCAGCCGCGGUAAUACGGAGGAUCCGAGCGUUAUCUGGAUUUAUUGGGUUUAAAGGGAGCGUAGGUGGAUUGUUAAGUCAGUUGUGAAAGUUUGCGGCUCAACCGUAAAAUUGCAGUUGAAACUGGCAGUCUUGAGUACAGUAGAGGUGGGCGGAAUUCGUGGUGUAGCGGUGAAAUGCUUAGAUAUCACGAAGAACUCCGAUUGCGAAGGCAGCUCACUGGACUGCAACUGACACUGAGGCUCGAAAGUGUGGGUAUCAAACAGGAUUAGAUACCCUUGUAGUC